CCUGGCGGCACUAGCGCGGUGGUCCCACCUGACCCCAUGCCGAACUCAGAAGUGAAACGCCGUAGCGCCGAUGGUAGUGUGGGGUCUCCCCAUGUGAGAGUAGGGAACUGCCAGGG
rnacentral:rRNA from 1 species